ACUUUUCCUCUGGACGGGUUUUGAUAAAUCUCCCCCAUAGUACCUAUAAAUGGACAGCUGUAAUGGUCACUACACAAUGCAUGGUAUAUGAUGACGAUUACUUACUGUCCGCCCUCUCCCUCCAGGAGCUGAUGGUAAAUCAGUUCCUCCUUAAGGCCUUCAAUCUGGAGCUCCAGGUCUGAUCUUGUCAUUGUAAGCUCAUCCAAGACGCGCUUAAGUCCAUUGAUAUCAUUCUCCACGCUCUGGCGCAGGGAAAGUUCGUUCUCAAACCUAAAUGUAGAAGCCAGCAAAGCUCUGCUCACGAACUGUCACAGACCCCUGCUUUGAAUACCAGUCUCGGAUCUUGGCCUCCAAAUCAUUAUUUGCCGCUUCCAAGGAUCGUACUUUAUC